rnacentral:rRNA from 1 species
GAUGAACGCUGGCGGCGUGCUUAACACAUGCAAGUCGAACGGAAAGGCCCAAGCUUGGUUGGGUACUCGAGUGGCGAACGGGUGAGUAACACGUGGGUGAUCUGCCCUGCACUUCGGGAUAAGCCUGGGAAACUGGGUCUAAUACCGGAUAGGACCACCUGCUGGAUGGUGGGGUGGAGAGAUUUUCGGGGUGGGGUGAGGUCGGGGCCUUUCAGCUUGUUGGUGGGGUAAUGGGCUACCAAGGCGUCGACGGGUAGCCGGCCGGGGGGGGGGGACGGCCAAAUUGGGGCCGGGAUACGGCCCAGACUCCCACGGGAGGCAGGAGGGGGGAAUAUUGCACAAUGGGCGCGAGCCUGAUGCAGGCAAGCCGGGGGGGGGAUGACGGCCUUCGGGUUGUAAACCCCUUUCGCUAGGGACCAAGCGUUAUGUGACGGUACCUGGUGAAGAAGCACCGGCUAACUACGUG